rnacentral:rRNA from 1 species
AUUGAACGCUGGCGGAAUGCUUUACACAUGCAAGUCGAACGGCAGCACGGACUUCGGUCUGGUGGCGAGUGGCGAACGGGUGAGUAAUGUAUCGGAACGUGCCCAGUCGUGGGGGAUAACGUAGUGAAAAUUACGCUAAUACCGCAUACGAUCUAUGGAUGAAAGCGGGGGAUCGCAAGACCUUGCGCGAUUGGAGCGGGCGAUAUCAGAUUAGGUAGUCGGUGGGGUAAAGGCCCACAAAGCCAACGAUCUGUAGCUGAUCUGAGAGGACGACCAGCCACACUGGAACUGAGACACGGUCCAGACUCCUACGGGAGGCAGCAGUGGGGAAUUUUGGACAAUGGGCGAAAGCCUGAUCCAGCCAUUCCGCGUGCAGGAUGAAGGCCCUCGGGUUGUAAACUGCUUUUGUACAGAACGAAAAGGUUUCUACUAAUACUAGGAGCUCAUGACGGUACUGUAAGAAUAAGCACCGGCUAACUACGUGCCAGCAGCCGCAGUAA